GACGAACGCUGGCGGCGUGCUUAACACAUGCAAGUCGAACGGAAAGGCCCUGCUUUUGUGGGGUGCUCGAGUGGCGAACGGGUGAGUAACACGUGAGUAACCUGCCCUUGACUUUGGGAUAACUUCAGGAAACUGAGGCUAAUACCGGAUAGGAGCUCCUGCUGCAUGGUGGGGGUUGGAAAGUUUCGGCGGUUGGGGAUGGACUCGCGGCUUAUCAGCUUGUUGGUGGGGUAGUGGCUUACCAAGGCUUUGACGGGUAGCCGGCCUGAGAGGGUGACCGGCCACAUUGGGACUGAGAUACGGCCCAGACUCCUACGGGAGGCAGCAGUGGGGAAUAUUGCACAAUGGGCGGAAGCCUGAUGCAGCAACGCCGCGUGCGGGAUGACGGCCUUCGGGUUGUAAACCGCUUUCGCCUGUGACGAAGCGCGAGUGACGGUAAUGGGUAAAGAAGCACCGGCUAACUACGU
rnacentral:rRNA from 1 species